rnacentral:rRNA from 1 species
GAUGAACGCUAGCUACAGGCUUAACACAUGCAAGUCGAGGGGAAACGACAUCGAAAGCUUGCUUUUGAUGGGCGUCGACCGGCGCACGGGUGAGUAACGCGUAUCCAACCUGCCCAUCACUUGGGGAUAACCUUGCGAAAGUAAGACUAAUACCCAAUGAUAUCUCUAGAAGACGUCUGAAAGAGAUUAAAGAUUUAUCGGUGAUGGAUGGGGAUGCGUCUGAUUAGCUUGUUGGCGGGGUAACGGCCCACCAAGGCAACGAUCAGUAGGGGUUCUGAGAGGAAGGUCCCCCACAUUGGAACUGAGACACGGUCCAAACUCCUACGGGAGGCAGCAGUGAGGAAUAUUGGUCAAUGGGCGAGAGCCUGAACCAGCCAAGUAGCGUGCAGGAAGACGGCCCUAUGGGUUGUAAACUGCUUUUAUAAGGGAAUAAAGUGAGAGUCGUGACUCUUUUUGUAUGUACCUUAUGAAUAAGGACCGGCUAAUUCCGUG